AAGCGCACGAUCCCUAGCUGGUAGGAGGGAUGACCAAGCCCACAUGGAAUUGAGACCCGUCCAGACUCCUACCGGAGGCAGCAGUGGGAAUAUUGACCAUUGGCGCAGCUGAUGCAGCCAUGCCGCGUGUAUGAAGAAUGCCUUCGGGUUGUAAAAGUACUUUCAGCGGGGAGGAAGGCGAUGAGGUUAAUAACCUCGUCGAUGACGUUACCCGAAGAAGAAGCACUGCUAAUUCGUGCCAGCAGCCGCGGUAAUACGGAGGGUGCAGCGUUAUCGGAAUACUGGGCGUAAAGCGCACGCAGGCGGUCUGUUAAGUCAGAUGUGAAAUCCCCGGGCUUACCUGGGAACUGCAUUUGAAACUGGCAGGCUUGAGUCUCGUAGAGGGGGGUAGAAUUCCAGGUGUAGCGGUGAAAUGCGUAGAGAUCUGGAGGAAUACCGGUGGCGAAGGCGGCCCCCUGGACGAAGACUGACGCUCAGGUGCGAAAGCGUGGGGAGCAAACAGGAUUAGAUACCCUGGUAGUCCACGCCGUAAACGAUGUCGACUUGGAGGUUGUGCCCUUGAGGCGUGGCUUCCGGAGCUAACGCGUUAAGUCGACCGCCUGGGGAGUACGGCCGCAAGGUUAAAACUCAAAUGAAUUGACGGGGGCCCGCACAAGCGGUGGAGCAUGUGGUUUAAUUCGAUGCAACGCGAAGAACCUUACCUGGCCUUGACAUCCAGAGAACUUAGCAGAGAUGCUUUGGUGCCUUCGGGAACUCUGAGACAGGUGCUGCAUGGCUGUCGUCAGCUCGUGUUGUGAAAUGUUGGGUUAAGUCCCGCAACGAGCGCAACCCUUAUCCUUUGUUGCCAGCGGUUCGGCCGGGAACUCAAAGGAGACUGCCGGUGAUAAACCGGAGGAAGGUGGGGAUGACGUCAAGUCAUCAUGGCCCUUACGGCCAGGGCUACACACGUGCUACAAUGGCGCAUACAAAGAGAAGCGACCUCGCGAGAGCAAGCGGACCUCAUAAAGUGCGUCGUAGUCCGGAUUGGAGUCUGCAACUCGACUCCAUGAAGUCGGAAUCGCUAGUAAUCGUAGAUCAGAAUGCUACGGUGAAUACGUUCCCGGGCCUUGUACACACCGCCCGUCACGCCAUGGGAGUGGGUUGCAAAAGAAGUAGGUAGCUUAACAUUUGGAACAAGGUACCAUAGAGUACGCGAUGUUUUAUUCUUAUG
rnacentral:rRNA from 1 species